UACGUAGGGGGCAAGCGUUUGUCCGGAAUCAUUGGGCGUAAAGAGCGUGUAGGCGGUCCGAUAAGUCCGCUCUGAAAGCCCGGGGGCUCAACCCCGGGAGGCGGGCGGAUACUGUCGGGCUAGAGUCCGGAAGAGGCAAGUGGAAUUCCUGGUGUAGCGGUGAAAUGCGCAGAUAUCAGGAGGAACACCGAUGGCGAAGGCAGCUUGCUGGGACGGUACUGACGCUGAGGCGCGAAAGCGUGGGUAGCAAACGGG
rnacentral:rRNA from 1 species